rnacentral:rRNA from 1 species
CGAACGGGUGAGUAAUACAUCGGAACGUGCCCAGUUGUGGGGGGAUAGCCCGGCGAAAGCCGGAUUAAUACCGCAUACGACCUACGGGUGAAAGCGGGGGAUCGCAAGACCUCGCGCAAUUGGAGCGGCCGAUGGCAGAUUAGCUUGUUGGUGGGGUAAAAGCCUACCAAGGCGACGAUCUGUAGCUGGUCUGAGAGGACGACCAGCCACACUGGGACUGAGACACGGCCCAG